CCUACGGGUGGCAGCAGUGGGGGAUAUUGCACAAUGGGGGGAACCCUGAUGCAGCGACGCCGCGUGGGUGAAGGAGCGUUUCGGCGCGUAAAGCCCUAUCGGCAGGGAAGAAGAUGACGGUACCUGGCCAAGAAGCCCCGGCUAACUACGUGCCAGCAGCCGCGGUAAUACGUAGGGGGCAAGCGUUAUCCGGAUUUACUGGGUGUAAAGGGGGCGCAGACGGCAAUGCAGGCCAGGAGGGAAAGCCCGGGUCCCAAGCCCGGAACUGCUCUUGGAACUGCAUGGCUGGAGUGCAGGAGGGGCAGGCGGAAUGCGUGGUGUAGCGGUGAAAUGCGUAGAUAUUAGGAAGAACACCGGUGGCGAAGGCGGCUUUCUGGACUGAAACUGACGCUGAGGCACGAAAGCGUGGGGAGCGAACAGGAUUAGAUACCCCAGUAGUC
rnacentral:rRNA from 1 species